UACGUAGGGAGCAAGCGUUGUCCGGAAUCAUUGGGCGUAAAGAGCGCGUAGGCGGUCCGGUAAGUCGGUUGUGAAAACUGGGGGCUCAACCCUCAGAGGCCGACCGAUACUGCCGGGCUAGAGUCCGGAAGAGGCGAGUGGAAUUCCUGGUGUAGCGGUGAAAUGCGCAGAUAUCAGGAGGAACACCAAUGGCGAAGGCAGCUCGCUGGGACGGUACUGACGCUGAGGCGCGAAAGCAUGGGGAGCGAACAGG
rnacentral:rRNA from 1 species